UCCUGUCACUGCUGUUGCUGAUGGCUGAAGGAGGAGGAGCAUGUCUACCAUGCUCCCUCGCAGUUCCCACAAUUCCCAGCACAGGAGACAUGCUCCUCCUCCUUCAGCUAUCAGCAUCAUCAGUG